AUGUUUGUAGGUUGUAGGUCUGAGAGGAAAGGUGUGACCAGGUGGUAGGUCCCUCCGAUACCUAGUUCACCUGUGUUGUUGCUCUCCAUACAGUUAUAUACUGAUUUAACCUGCACAGGUAAAGACAGAUCGGACUCUAAUACCCUCUAAUCGAUCAACCAUGACCAGGGUGAUUGACGAGGUGAAUUUAUUGCUGUGACAAAAGAGAGACAACUCCUGUUUGCUUCACUAAGAGGAUUUGCUAAGACCUCCUGGGACUGUUUUAACAGUUUAAAAUGAUUAAAGCAUUUCCAAACUUU